AGUGAACGCUGGCGGUAGGCCUACCCCUGCAAGUCGCACGGCAGCACAGUAAGAGCUUGCUCUUACGGGUGGCGAGUGGCGGACGGGUGAGGAAUACAUCGGAAUCUACUUUUUCGUGGGGGAUAACGUAGGGAAACUUACGCUAAUACCGCAUACGACCUACGGGUGAAAGCAGGGGAUCUUCGGACCUUGCGCGAUUGAAUGAGCCGAUGUCGGAUUAGCUAGUUGGCGGGGUAAAGGCCCACCAAGGCGACGAUCCGUAGCUGGUCUGAGAGGAUGAUCAGCCACACUGGAACUGAGACACGGUCCAGACUCCUACAGGAGGCAGCAGUGGGGAAUAUUGGACAAUGGGCGCAAGCCUGAUCCAGCCAUACCGCGUGGGUGAAGAAGGCCUUCGGGUUGUAAAGCCCUUUUGUUGGGAAAGAAAAGCAGCAGGUUAAUACCCCGCUGUUCUGACGGUACCCAAAGAAUAAGCACCGGCUAACUUCGUG
rnacentral:rRNA from 1 species